GCAUAUCAAUAAGCGGAAGGAAAAGAAAAAUAACAAUGAUUUCCCCCUAGUAACGGCGAGUGAAGAGGGAAAAAGCUCAAAGUUGGAACCUUGGUGGGCCAUAGCUCACCCGGAAUUGGAAACUAAAGUUUUUGAGUCGUUUUAGUCAGCCAGGUAAAUAAGUCCUCUGGAAAGGGGCGACAUAGAGGGUGAAAAUCCCCGUCUUUGGCCUGAGUUUUGAUUAGGCGUUUGGCUUGGAAACGAAGAGUCAGGUUGUUUGGGAAUGCAGCCUAAAAUGGGAGGUAAAUCUCUCCUAAAGCUAAAUAUUGACGAAAGACCGAUAGCGAACAAGUACCGUGAGGGAAAGAUGAAAAGCACUUUGAAAAGAGGGUCAAAAAGUACGUGAAAUUGCUGAAAGGGAACCGUAUGAAAUCAGACUUACUGGUAGGUAAUCAAUCUUUCCCUUGGGAAGGAUGCACUUGCCUGCUAUGUACGCCAGCGACAUUUUGGUUGUGGAGGAAAAAAAUAGUUGGAAUGUAGCCUGGGUUUCGGCUUAGGUGUUAUAGACUACUAUAAAAUACUCUCGGCUAGAAUGAGGAACGCAGCAAACCGUAAGGCGAAGAUUUUAGGCGCUUGGGGGGAAUCAUUAGAGAAUUUCUGCUUCGGGUGGUGCUUUAGUGAUUUCGUUCAACUCGUUUGAAUUUCUUUUUAUUUGCUUAGGUUGUUGGCUUAAUGAUUUAUAUAUGACCUCGUCUUGAAACACGGACCAAGGAGUCCACCAUAUGCGCGAGUCUUUGGGUGUAGAAACCCAUGGGCGGAAGGAAAUUGACUAAGAUACCAAGGCUUUAGCUGGCAGUAUCCCCCGGCAUAGACGUUUUAUACUGAAAUGACUGAGGGCAAGCGCUUAUGAUGGGACCCGAAAGAUGGUGAACUAUACUUGAAUAGGGUAAAGCCAGAGGAAGCUCUGGUGGAAGCUCGCAGCGAUUCUGACGUGCAAAUCGAUCGUCAAAUU
rnacentral:rRNA from 1 species